rnacentral:lncRNA from 12 species
GAGUGGCAGUGUGAUCGCAAAUUAUACGGUGCAAGUAAUGGGUCCAGUUACACUUAAUGAGUUGGAGAACAUAACCAACAAUCUGCCUAAUUCUGAUCUGAAAACAACAGGCUUCAUCAUUAUUGGCGGUACUCUGGGUCCGAUUGAUAUCGAUUCCUCUGUAACUAUAACUUGUCGUCCACAAGACAUGCUGGGAGAGGUAAAGUGGUACUUAAUAGAUGAGUGGAAUAAAAAAAAAACAGAGAUCACAAAAGGACAAGAGGCCAGCUUUGAUAACAAAAAUUCCGAGGACAUUGUUUAUCUGAAAAAUAUUUCAGGAAGCUGGAAAGGUAAGUUUCUGCAUGCAUACACAAUUAGGAUAACUAUGACUUUGAAAGUAUAUUUACUCAUUUUUAAAUUUUAAAUAAUUGAAUCUGUCUAUCUUAAGGAACAAUUCAGUGUGUGUACACAAAAGGGUCCAUACAACACACAGCAAGUACAGUGUUGGACAUAGCACUUCUGCCAGAAAUACAGGCUAAGAGCACUCCCCAAUUUGCUGAUUGUAGAAAUAACCAAUUCAAAAAGGCUGUCAUUGAAUGUAAAAUUUCUAACAGUACAGAAAAUUACACGGUUGCAUGGAAUACUGAUCUUAGUUUCACAGAAAUAGGACCAGGUAAGCAUCUCAUCACCACUUUUGCUCUCAGUGCAAACAGCCAGUGUAAACAAUGUGAUUGAAAGAUACAUUUAUUUAUUUAUUAUUUUUUAAAUACUUUUUGAUAAAUGAUUUUCAUAUUCCUGCAUUCUCUAGAAAUCCAGGGGAAUGUUUUAUCUUACAAAGCAGAGGCGAUCAUAAAUUGUGAAUCAUAUAUUAAGCAUAAGAAUGAGACACUGAAUGUUGCAUGUACAUUCACCAACCACAGAGCCAAUUACAACAAAUAUAAAACCAAAAAUGUGGAGAUCCCAGUCAUUCUUCCCCACUCACAAUUUUGUGAAGAAGAUAGCGGGUGGCCCGUCACAAAAAACAACUAUACAGCCAUUAUAUCCUGUGGGAACUCUGCUGUUGGUUCAAAAAUGAAAAAGUGCUAUGAAGGGUGGAAAGACGAAAUCUCUACUUGUGUGAAUAUGGAUCUGCAUGGCAUUAAAAGUGAUAUAGAGGUAUCAUUCUUUGGUAUUCAUUUAUUGACCGUUAUUGCUGGACAGAUUUACUCUUAGCACUAAAUCCUUGUUUUUUUGCUGUCAUAAUAACAGAUUUUAAAUAAAGGCAUUGGCCUUAUUAAGAAUGAUGCAGACGGACUUUUCAGACGAAUGCAGCAUUCGACCACUGUGGAGACAUUCAACUCAUUUGCAAAUAUUAAUGCAUCUGUAGUUAUUUUUGAAGCCAUGAACAAUGUAUCUAAACAGCAGUCUAAUCAAUGGAACGAUACUGUCAUGCCUGUAUGUAUGUUUUCUCUUCAGUUUCUUUGUGACAUUGUGUGUUGACCCUCUUAUUAACAUCUUUUAAAUCAUCAGAGAUAUUUGGUUUGGGAAUAGGGCUAUUUUUUGAGAUCUAUUGCUAAAGGUUGAUGAGUGGUUCUUAUUAAAACACAUCAAAAAUGAACUCCAAGUAAUAAUCAAUAAUCAAAUCCCUGUGUUUGCUCAACGUCUAAUCGCAUUUCACUUUACAUUGCAGGACUUUGUCAGCGCUAUAAGCAACGCUUUGAAUAAAACAGGAGCCUGGAACAAUCCUGAAACUAAAAACACUAAUUUAUCUAUAACAUAUCUACAGACUAUUGAGAAAAUUA